GGAGGUGUGUGGGGGCCGUGCGGGAUUAAAUUAGGCACACAGGGGCUUAUGGGAACCAAAGGACAGCACAGGCACUGAUACCACACAGCUCACCUGAGCGAGCGUGUCCUUGAGAGAUAGGAGUCCGUAAUCCCUGUGCCUCCGCUGGGAACGCCGGGAAUGCGCCGUGAAUGCAUGCAUCAGGCUUAAGGUCACACUGGCUCACUCCAGUCAUGCUGGAUUUGCUGUAUGUGCAUUUACAUGCACAAGUGAAGUGACUGAAAGAACUAGCCUUCCCGUGCUCCCCUGGGCGAGGAGGAAACUUUGGGUCUGAAGCGAUUGCUGGUGUUUGAAGCCGCCGGGCCCUCAUUCCCAUCACCGGGCUUCAAAGACGAUCUGGCCACAGAUGCACCGUUAACCUGGAGAUUUAAACAAGUGAUGCUGCAGUGUGACCACACUGAAAUGCUGAGAUGAGAUUUUGAAGCUCUUGCUGUUCUGUGAACCGCAGCUGGACAAAGAUAAUUUUGGCAAGCCCUCACACCACUGACCUGAAGUGGGUCUCCACAGAUUUAACAACUGUACUCAAGAUAUCAGAAGCGUCCGUGUCUCUUUCAGAUGCGACCCCUGAGCAGAAGGUCACCAAGCAGAUGAACUGAAGAGGCAGGCCGUCCUCAUCCCAGCAUCUCUCCAUCACCGCCUGCCGAUUCUAUAGCUAUAUUGUGUCCCGCAUCAUAAUGGCUUCCAAGAGUAUUCAUUUGCUGAAGAGUCUCACAUACCUGGAAUUCGUGAGAGUGUCACUUCAGAUUCACUCUUUCUUCGGCACUCAUUCUGCACUUUAUUACUCUGAAACGCUUCUGACCCUGGCUAUAAUUCCCAUUCUAUUUCAAGGAGAGCAUCGCAAUAAAGCACAAAUCUAGGGGUGGGAGUGAAAUCCAGUGGGGUCCUGGAUUGUGAAUGUCAGAGCGAGCAAACAGAGGGGGAUGGGCUGGAGAGAAGAAAGAGAAAAAGCACAAGAACAGAGAAAGGGAGAGCGUGUGAUGGCUUACUGUGAAUAUUUUCGUUCCUCUUGUGUUCUAUCUGUUAUCGGGGCGUUUGACUCGCCUCAUGACGUGUCAGUCCCGACUUCAAAAGAAUCCAGGCAGCAGCCUUUCACCCCCACUAUAUAUGCUUCGGAAUCGCUUCUGGGAUUGAAUUAGGGCAAAUCCAUUAUACAGUUGCCAUGGAGACAAGGCACAAAUGCUGAUAAAGUGUGUGUGUGUGUGCAUUUUUUUUCUCGCCAAAUAGGCUCGAUGAAACAGACUGCAUGCAUACAUGCCACAUUCUGUGCAGAAUGACAGCGAAACUUCCUGUGUGUGUGCCAUGAAAGGUCUGACUCCGAUUGGGAAUGCUUAAGUAGUCGAGCGCCUGCAGGAGUGCUGCACUUACCCAUACCAUCAUUGCAGCGCUGAGGCAGAAUCGAGCUCAGGUGCCAAUUAAAGGAAGGUUGGGCCUCUGCUGGAGCAGCCACAACUAAUGUGUCACUUUCAUUGGGCGGCUACAAAUAGUUGAGAUGGUUAUCAUUACAAAAACGAGAGCAUGUUCAAUCAGACGGAGGGAUAAAUCACCCCGCGUCUGACGUGGAACAAAGGCACCUGGGGUCAGGAGAUACAGGCUCUGUAUUACCUGAAUAUAAAAACACAUGCAGUACAAAAGCUCCUGAUGCCAGGUUUAGAGGAACAAAAUGUGAGCUUUGCUUAUCUGCAUGCUGCUCAAAUUGCAUAUGAUGUAUUUUAUUACAUGGAUCAUACAAGCUGUCAUAUUAUUCUAUAAUAAAGCAUAUAGUUG